GACGAACGCUGGCGGCGCGCCUAACACAUGCAAGUUGAACGAGCGAGAGAGAGCUUGCUUUCUCGAGCGAGUGGCGAACGGGUGAGUAACGCGUGAGGAACCUGCCUCAAAGAGGGGGACAACAGUUGGAAACGACUGCUAAUACCGCAUAAGCCCACAGCUCGGCAUCGAGCAGAGGGAAAAGGAGUGAUCCGCUUUGAGAUGGCCUCGCGUCCGAUUAGCUAGUUGGUGAGGUAACGGCCCACCAAGGCGACGAUCGGUAGCCGGACUGAGAGGUUGAACGGCCACAUUGGGACUGAGACACGGCCCGGACUCCUACGGGAGGCAGCAGUGGGGAAUAUUGCACAAUGGGGGAAACCCUGAUGCAGCGACGCCGCGUGGAGGAAGAAGGUCUUCGGAUUGUAAACUCCUGUUGUUGAGGAAGAUAAUGACGGUACUCAACAAGGAAGUGACGGCUAACUACGUGCCAGCAGCCGCGGUAAUAC
rnacentral:rRNA from 1 species